AUACGGAGGGUGCAAGCGUUGUCCGGAUUUAUUGGGUUUAAAGGGUGUGUAGGCGGUGUAUUAAGUCAGUGGUGAAAGCCUGCGGCUCAACCGUAGAACUGCCAUUGAUACUGACACACUUGAGUAUGGACGGGGUAGGCGGAAUUUAUGGUGUAGCGGUGAAAUGCAUAGAUACCAUAAAGAACACCGAUAGCGAAGGCAGCUUACUAGGCCAUAACUGACGCUGAGGCACGAAAGCGUGGGGAGCGAACAGGAUUAGAAACCCGUGUAGUCC
rnacentral:rRNA from 1 species